CACAUCCCACGAAAGUGACGAAACCCUAUAAUAUUUUCUCUCUCCCACGAUUUUUCUGUUUAAUUGAUAUCAAACUUUCUCCCGUCUCCAUAUUCAUUUUUGAUCUCUACUUUGAAAUCUACUCCAUUAAUUCUGCAGAAACCGAAUUACAAAAAAGAAAUCGUCAAAACUUCAUAACCCUUUUCCUCACCCUUUCUCAUCGUCUUAUUUCACCACUGCCUCGAUUCACCCCCCUUCUAACUCUGCUCGAUGUUUGCUCAUGAAAGUAUAAUGAAAACUCAGCCACCAUUCGCUGAGAUUAGGGAGAGAGAAGACGAGGAUCAGGCGAAGAUGAAAGUAUCAGAUAAGAGGGAGUUGUCAGGUCGCGGAUUUGUUGUUGUCGACGGUGGAUUGGUGGCUGCGACACCGAUUUUCAGCAGCAACUAAUAGCCGGAAAUUUAGAAGUGAAAGGGAAGAAAUCUGAGAGAAUGGUUAUUUGUUCAACGCGAUUGAGAGAAAAAGAGAAACGAUAGAUAUAUGAGAAAAGAGAUUUCUCCCCCGCCUAUUAUCAGCAACCUAAUUACAAAAGAAUAUACCCAAACUUCGAACCUUUUUCCUCACCCAAUUCUCCUCUUUUGCCAAUUCUACCACCACAUGGGUGACCCAUUCUCUGACGGAGACUCAGCUGUCAUUUGCUCAUCAAACUCUAAUGGAGAUGCAAUCGCCGCCUUUGCCGCGCCGCCUCGAACAAACGUCGCCCAAAACUCAGGCUGGCAUGUGGCCUCGCGCCGCCUCCAAAGCGCAAGAGCAAACCUAGCAACUUGGAGCAAUUUUAUUUUUCAGAAAUCGCGAUGGUUCCUGGGCAGCUGAUAUGGGAGAUCGCAAGAAGACCAAUUCGCUUAUGGUGAAGCAGUUCGGGAAUGGAACCACGAGUGUGAAUUCAGCAAGGAGCCUAACAAUCUCUAUAACUUGCACUCCUACAAGCACUCUGACAAUUCAUUGAUAUUGAUUUAAAUGGAUCUCCAAUAACUGGACUGUCAAAGCCCUAUGUAAAAAGACCACAAGAACCAGAUGCAUGGCAUGACGUAUCUCUGCCAUGUGACAGCAGAUUCAUAACCAAGUACAUAGAAGGUUUAGUCGUUUCCCUUCCGUACAUUUAUUUAUUUUUGUUUUGAUUUUCAAUGCAUGAGAUUUAUGCUUAUUAAUUUUUUAGGUCUCGAGGCUACACCAAGGAAGAAGGCAACAUCUACCUCUACUUAAAGUUGAGAACAUAUAUGGUCGUACUUAUCUUUAUUGCAAUCUUGGGAGUGAUAGAGGCAAUUCAAUUUUCGGGAUUUUCAUUUUAACAUUUUUAUCCAAAUAAUUGUUAAAUUUUGUUGUUUCUUCUCACAAGUAUUUUGAUACAUAUGGAUCAAAGACCCAGGUCUUCCUCCCGAUAUUGAAUACUCGAUUUCUCUCUCAGCUAUGAUUGGCAUGAAACAAGAGAAACAAGUUAUUGAUGUUUU